rnacentral:rRNA from 1 species
AACAAAACGCUGGCGGCGUGCCUAACACAUGCAAGUCGUACGAGAAAGUCGGCUUCGGCCGAUGAGUACAGUGGCGCACGGGUGAGUAGCGCGUGGGUAAUCUGCCCCCCGGUCAGGAAUAACCCGCCGAAAGGCGGGCUAAUACCCGAUAACACUGACGCUCCGCGGAGCGUCUUUCAAAGAAGGCCUCUGUUUACAAGCUUUCGCCGGAGGAUGAGCCCGCGUACCAUUAGCUAGUUGGCAGGGUAAUGGCCUACCAAGGCUACGAUGGUUAGCUGGUCUGAGAGGAUGAUCAGCCAGACUGGAACUGAGACACGGUCCAGACUCCUACGGGAGGCAGCAGUAGGGAAUUUUCCACAAUGGACGAAAGUCUGAUGGAGCAACGCCGCGUGCAGGAUGAAGGCCCUUGGGUUGUAAACUGCUUUUAUGUGCGAAGAUUAUGACAGUAACACAUGAAUAAGGGUCGGACUAACUACGUGCCAGCAGCCGCGGU